rnacentral:rRNA from 1 species
GGGCCGGGGCGGCAGCUACACAUGCAAGUCGAGCGGUAACAGAUCCAGCUUGCUGGAUGCUGACGAGCGGCGGACGGGUGAGUAAUGCAUAGGAAUCUGCCCGAUAGUGGGGGAUAACCUGGGGAAACCCAGGCUAAUACCGCAUACGUCCUACGGGAGAAAGGGGGCUUCGGCUCCCGCUAUCGGAUGAGCCUAUGUCGGAUUAGCUAGUUGGUGAGGUAACGGCUCACCAAGGCCACGAUCCGUAGCUGGUCUGAGAGGAUGAUCAGCCACAUCGGGACUGAGACACGGCCCGAACUCCUACGGGAGGCAGCAGUGGGGAAUAUUGGACAAUGGGGGGAACCCUGAUCCAGCCAUGCCGCGUGUGUGAAGAAGGCCCUCGGGUUGUAAAGCACUUUCAGCGAGGAAGAACGCCUAGCGGUUAAUACCCGCUAGGAAAGACAUCACUCGCAGAAGAAGCACCGGCUAACUCCGUGCCAGCAGCCGCGGUAAUACGGAGGGUGCAAGCGUUAAUCGGAAUUACUGGGCGUAAAGCGCGCGUAGGUGGCUUGAUAAGCCGGUUGUGAAAGCCCCGGGCUCAACCUGGGAACGGCAUCCGGAACUGUCAAGCUAGAGUGCAGGAGAGGAAGGUAGAAUUCCCGGUGUAGCGGUGAAAUGCGUAGAGAUCGGGAGGAAUACCAGUGGCGAAGGCGGCCUUCUGGACUGACACUGACACUGAGGUGCGAAAGCGUGGGUAGCAAACAGGAUUAGAUACCC